rnacentral:rRNA from 1 species
CAAUCCAUGAGUACAGUGGCGUACGGGUGAGUAACACGUGGGGAUCUACCUUCGGGUGGGGGAUAACUCUGGGAAACCGGAGCUAAUACCGCAUAAGCAGGGAACUGGAAAGCCGAAAGGCGCCGGAAGAGGAGCCCGCGGCCGAUUAGCUAGUUGGUGGGGUAACGGCUCACCAAGGCAAAGAUCGGUAGCCGGCCUGAGAGGGCACACGGCCACACUGGCACUGAAACACGGGCCAG